AAACGAUCGGGAAACUUGCCUUUCAAAGAUUUCGAUCCGAAGAUCCAAAGAAGGUGCCAGCCCAAAUCCUUCUACUUUUCCUCCGUGUCCUCUCUCUGUUUCGUUUUGUGCACUCGUUUUCUUUCUUUCUUCGCAACUACACCACAUGUCGAAUAUCGAGGCACAGUCACCUGCUCUCUCUUACUCUCAUUCCUUCUUCUUUUCUUUCCCAAACGCAGCUGCCACAGCCACCGCCGCUGCCACAGUCGCAGCCCUUUCCAUCGCACUGCCUUCUUCCUCCUCUUCUUUCGCAGACACAGCUGCUGCAUACGCAGUCGCUGCCGCCGCGGCCACAACCCCGUCCGCAGCCCCUUUUUCCCCCUUUUCUUUCUUUUCUUUCCCAGCUGCAACUGCCGUAGUCGCAGUCGCAGCCAUGGCCGCGGCCACCACAACCGCAGCCUCUUCUUCCUCCCCUGCUUAUCUUCCUCUCCUUCUUCUCUUCCAGCUGC
rnacentral:lncRNA from 1 species